CGAAAAAUAAUUAAUUAGCUUCCUACUUCCUACACAGAAUGGCCCAUGGUGCUUGACAAGAAAAACCCAUUUUAAUUGUCUAGGUUGAGAGUUUGUCCACGUAAAUUUUCAUCUUUCCUCAAUGCCAUAUCGUAAUACGCUAUGAGUGUGUCAUCCACGAGUUUCCCGUCAGCAAACAUCCACUCAUCCACUAUUGUCUUUAACUCUUUCGGUUUGCAGCAGCCAAAGAGAUAUGUUCAUAAAGACUGUCCCACUAAAUAUUUAACGAGUUCCCAAGACUGUCCAACACCAGACUGUCCAACACAGAUCAACAUGUGUGCCUAAAAGAUUCUAACUGGUGGUCAACAAAUCAAUUUAGACAUCCUGA